rnacentral:rRNA from 1 species
GUCGAGCGAGAAAAAGGGCUUCGGCCCUUGAGUAAAGCGGCGUACGGGUGAGUAACACGUGGGUAAUCUGCCCUUCGGUGGGGGACAACAACCCGAAAGGGUUGCUAAUACCGCAUUCGCCGGCGAGGUCUGAGGAUCACGUCGGGAAAGUGGGCCUCUACUUGUAAGCACACGCCGAAGGAGGAGCCCGCGUCCCAUCAGCUAGUUGGUAGGGUAACGGCCUACCAAGGCAAAGACGGGUAGCUGGUCUGAGAGGAUGAUCAGCCACACUGGGACUGAGACACGGCCCAGACUCCUACGGGAGGCAGCAGUGGGGAAUAUUGGACAAUGGGCGAAAGCCUGAUCCAGCCAUGCCGCGUGAGUGAUGAAGGCCUUCGGGUCGUAAAGCUCUGUGGAGAGGGAAGAAUCCCUGCAGCAUCAGAUCCUGCAGGUUGACGGUACCUCUUUAGCAAGCACCGGCUAACUCCGUGCCAGCAGCCGCGGUAAUACGGAGGGUGCAAACGUUGCUCGGAAUCAUUGGGCGUAAAGCGCACGUAGGCGGACUGUUAAGUCGGACGUGAAAGCCCUCGGCUUAACCGAGGAAGUGCAUUCGAAACUAGCAGUCUUGAGUACGGGAGAGGGUCGCGGAAUUCCCGGUGUAGAGGUGAAAUUCGUAGAUAUCGGGAGGAACACCAGUGG